UACGUAGGUGACAAGCGUUGUCCGGAUUUACUGGGCGUAAAGAGCGCGCAGGCGGUCGUUCAAGUCGAGUGUGAAAGCCCCCGGCUUAACUGGGGAGGGUCACUCGAUACUGAUCGACUCGAAGGCAGGAGAGGGAAGUGGAAUUCCCGGUGUAGUGGUGAAAUGCGUAGAUAUCGGGAGGAACACCAGUGGCGAAGGCGACUUCCUGGCCUGUUCUUGACGCUGAGGCGCGAAAGCUAGGGGAGCAAACGGG
rnacentral:rRNA from 1 species